UCGAGAAUUUGAACGCAAGUUGCGCCCGAGGCCAGCCGGCCGAGGGCACGUCCGCCUGGGCGUCAAGCGUCGCGUCGCUCCGCGCCAGCCCUCCAUCCCACCCAGUGGGUGUGCCGGGCGAGGCUCGGACGUGCAGAGUGGCCCGUCGUGCCCGCCGGCGCG
rnacentral:rRNA from 1 species